UAUUAUUGUAGCAGCCCUUGGUUUAAAAAGAAUCAACAUGCAGAGAGUCUCAGACUGGUUCUUUUGUGGUGGUGUUCUGUGCCACACUCACCUGUUCAAGGUCCUGUGCAACAGCCUGUGAUGUUUGAUUGCAAGCAGAUAACCUCAUUUCCCACAAGACCCACUGCAUUGAAAACUGUAUGAUGAAGCCCAAAUAAAACAAAGAGCAAUUAAGUUAGGUAGAAUACCCAAUAGUGGCUGGGCGGUUGUUUGGCCUGGAUCCCCUGCAGAUUUGUUUUUUUAAGAGCUUAAAUGAAGUCAGCUUUAAUUUCUACUGAGGUUUUUGUUUUUCAGAUGGAUUCAGCUCCUGAUAAAUUAUCAGCUUUUGUACUCUGCUGCUGUAAAACACUCCUUUCAUUCCUGUGUGCAUGAAAUGCUCAUGUGUUUCUAGUGAAAGUUAAAGUGAUUGCAAAAUUGAUCAACAAAACAGUGACAAAGCAUUUUGCAGAUGUUGCAUUAGCUCAUGGUGAAGAAGUGGAAGCUAAGUCUUCAAACAUAGCUUUCAGUUUACCAGUUGGUGUUAAUUCACAUCUUCAACCUAUGAUAAUGGGUUUAUUUUGUGACUUAAAGAAUUAAAUAUAUGAGUAUA